GCCCGCUCUCCCUUUUCCCGGCCCUUGGCACCACGUGGUGGCGAGGUUGAGAGCCUCUUACCACGCGGGAAUCAGCUAGUUAGAUAGUCCCCAGGUAUCUCCAGAUCCUCUGGGGACCCAACUCCUGAAUUGGGUUCUGGGGACAACAAAAAGAACAUGGGUGACUCCGCCUGCUUUGAACUUCAGUUUCUGCGUGAGCAGGGACACACACACCCGGAAACAUGACGUGGAAAUAGAGUAAUUACUAGAGUGCGUGGGGAGAGGGUAGUGGAUUUAACCCCGUACUCCGUUCCAUCACUUCAAGCAUCAAACGCCGACCAGCUAGCCCAUUGGCCCGUACAGGCGAAUGCAGAAGACGGUGUAUACGAAAGCUGAUAACGUGUAGGGCUUGACAUUUUUAUGCGUCUGAAUUGAAAUACAUGAAAUGUUCUGCCUUUUUCUUUUCCACCUUGCCUACUUGGUAUGCAAGUUUUACUGAAUUGAAGCCAGUGGUUGAUAGGAAAUGUAGACAUUUUGCCUUUCAUAAUAGAGGAUGAACUUUGCAUAAUGGAGUGAUUUCUGUGUAUGUGCUGAUACUAUCAGGGUUUUUAAUUUUUAUUUUUUUGGGUCUUUAAAAAUAUG
rnacentral:lncRNA from 1 species